rnacentral:tRNA from 2 species
CGGGGAUUAGGUCAUCGGUAGACCGCUCGGUUCGGGACCGAAAGGCACGCGGUUCAAUUCCGCGAUCCCCGA